CUGCCGGCCUCGACUAUUUCCCCUCCAGCAAUGACAGGAUUAUGUCUGACAUGUUUAAGGAAGUGGCUUUGGCAGGCAGUGUAGUGGAGCACCAGAGGAGGAGAGUAAAUAAACUCCAGCUCUGGCUUUGCACGGCCCAACCAGACCGGCUCCAUCUAACGUUUCACGACUGAGGAGCUGAAUUCCUGGAAAAUGACUUAAUUGUGGGGUAGAUUUCCAAAUGAUGAUUCGAGGCGAAAUGACAGAAAGAAAAGAAAAGAAGAAGCCAGAGCAGGGUGGGAGUCUCGAAUGACUGCUCGAUUUUCUCAUCAGGUGAACUCACUGAGGACACAGGCUGCAAGAGAGGUAAUGUUGAAGAAACAGAGGGUAUAGAGGAAAUAGAGAGACAGCAGGGAUACCUUCACAGAACUCAGACGGUAAUUGCAGACGAACAUGUCCAAAACGAGGCGAGCUGUCUACAUCCGACAUCCUGUGCUUUCAGUCGGUGUUUUAUCCCAGAGGAGAACAAAUGGCAGGAACUGGAGUUCCAGGACGUGCUGAGGGGCUCCUGAUACCUGCUUUUAAGUCGACAUGCCUGAACAUGUCGCCCCCUCUGUCUCCCUGGAGGUUUGCUUUUUCCACUGUUGAUGCAGACAGGACACACUCUAUAUCCCUGUACCCACAACCCCACUAUUCAUCAAGUUUUAUAUGAACUCAUGGGUAGUAAAUCAAUGUUCUAAAAGGAAGAGAUAGAAAGAAGAGAGAUGUUCAAAGAAGUUCAGUCUUUGAAAAUCUUGCACCGUCACUAACAGGUGUUUUGAUUUAUGGUGUUUGUGUUUAAUUGGGGCAUUUCUCGGAUUCACAUGAAAGGGAAGGUGAAUUGAUAUUUUUCAGGCUGAGAGUGGCUCAGUUUGGGCAAUGAGAAGAUACAGUCAAUGUUUUCUUCAAGAUCCGCCCCCCUACUGUGCACCUGGGAGAAGACAUACUAAAUGUUCCCUAGUGGUAUUUCAGGAAUUCAUCAAAAAUGUGGCUUUAUAAAUAAUCUCUCAGGGAAAUAUUAAGGAGCUAAAGUCGACCAUGUUACACGUUAACAUUUGGGUUCAGCGUGAAAUAUCAAUUGUAGGGAUUGCCAUGAAAUUUACUUAACAUUCAAGCAAAUCCUGAGGGGAUAAACUCAAUAAUAACUCUUACCUCUAGCACCACCAGCAGUUUAAAGUUUUCACUUAUUCAGCGAAAAAGCUUGAAAUGUACUAAAUGGAUUGGCACCAAAUUUCAAGAAAAAUAAUACCAGUGUACUUUCUACUGUAACACCACAUGUAACUUGUAUAGGAUGAUGUCUAAAAGAAAACAGUACUUAGGCUGUCUAAAAUGUAUAAAUGUUAGGCUCUAAGAUCAAACAACUCUCUCAUAGAAAAAGUAAAAGAAAUAAGGACCAACCUCACAGUCCUCUAUUAUCAGUCUUCCCUGAUUGCCUAUUUUUCCUAUUUUGCUUUUUAAAAUGUUCCUCUCUUUGGUUCUGGUACAUGAACAGCAUGCCAGAUAAAAUAAAAGAACUAAUUGUAUACUCUCA